rnacentral:lncRNA from 1 species
ACCAAAACAAUGUGAGAGGCAAUCGUCUCUUUGGCAGAAGUUUCAUAACCCAGUACAGGAUUGCUCUACUUGCAAGAAGAAAUAUACUUUCUCCAUUUACCACUGAAGAUUUAUGGCCAAUGUGAUGUAUUUAGGUUGGUUUAAUUAUAACUAUUAUUCACUAUUCCAUAGGGGAUUUUACAAGUCUAGGCAUUUAGUGAUAGUACAUAUUUGUAUUAGUGAUGGCAGUCUUUUAAUUAACUCCUUAUUUUGAAUUCUAAUACAAAGAGUAGUCUUUUUUCUAAAGUCAUAGGAACACAAUUAGCAUAUUUAUUAACACUGAUCCCCUCUUAGCUUCUCUAAUAAUAUUUUGUACUAAUAGUUCUUGUAUUUCUAAUACAAAUCUGAAGCUUUUCAAAAUGAUAAUUUUAAUUGUAUUAAAAAGACUAAUAUCUCCCAGCUGGUUUUACUUUUUACCAAUUCAGUUUGUAAGUAAUUACAAAAAAAUUCCUAACAGGUCUUUCACUCUUUGAAUUCUAUAAUCUUUUCUAUAGAUAUUAGCAUUAAUUUGUACAAAUAAGACUACUGAAUUGCAAGUCAAAAGUAGACAAGCUGACAAUGAAAUUAAGCAUGAAUAUGUGUGUACAUAUACAUACAUAUUCUUUCUCUUCCUAACUCUUAAAAUGAAAGCAUGAAAUCAAACAUUUCAAUCAAAUAUACUUUUUAUGCUAAGAUUUAAAAAUGGUGGGUUUUUUUUGUCUUAUAGCCUUACAGAAACCCUGAGAUACUCAAAUUUAAUCUGAACUUAUAUAGUUGCUGGUUUAUUUAUCAUAAAAAAGAAAUCACUGGAAUUUUGUGUAGUUCCCAGUUUAUUCUAAACUCUGUUUUGACUUUUGUUUCUAACAAUAGAACUAGGAACAUUGAGAAGUUUGAUAUAGAGAAGAAUUUUUUAUUUGCUAUGUCUUACCAAAUGGCAAAAAAAAAAAAAAAAAUCACGAGUUUUUUUCUAAUAAAGUUUUAC